AAUGAACGCUGGCGGCAGGCCUAACACAUGCAAGUCGAACGGAUCCUUCGGGAUUAGUGGCGGACGGGUGAGUAACGCGUGGGAACAUACCCAAAGGUACGGAAUAGCCUCGGGAAACUGGGAGUAAUACCGUAUGUGCUCGAAAGAGGAAAGAUUUAUCGCCUUUGGAUUGGCCCGCGUUGGAUUAGGUAGUUGGGGGGGUAAUGGCCUACCAAACCGACGAUCCAUAGCUGGUUUGAGAGGAUGAUCAGCCACACUGGGACUGAGACACGGCCCAGACUCCUACGGGAGGCAGCAGUGGGGAAUCUUAGACAAUGGGGGAAACCCUGAUCUGGCCAUGCCGCGUGAUCGAUGAAGGCCUUAGGGUUGUAAAGAUCUUUCAGGUGGGAAGAUAAUGACUGUACCACCAGAAGAAGCCCCGGCUAACUCCGUGCCAGCCGCCGCGGUAA
rnacentral:rRNA from 1 species